ACCUUCUACUAUUUUCCAGACAAAUAUAAAACGUUUAUUACAAUUCAUUACUUAGACUUCUUUUAUAAUGCUGCCCACAUGUGGAAGUCUAUUGUAGACUUCAAAACAAGUUGACCCUUGGCUACUUUGUGGAUCAUGUAGCUAAGCUGCUAGAACAAAUGCAAUCAGACACCUGGAAAGAGCAGAAGAACUCUGUCAGAUGGCAAAUUCCAAUAAGAGGUUAGAAUUAGUUACCUGCAGAAGAUUUGCAGAAAGAAAAGGCAUCCUGCAGUAAGAGGACUUGUUCUCCGCCUGCUUCUGCUCAGGUGCACGUGCUGUGGGGGCGCUGCUGAAGGAAGGACAUUAACAGGGCAGAAGGCAGUCCUGGUAAUCAGGCUCCCAAUAUGGCCAAAUCCAUUCUCACCGACCUUCACCAUUUUGUCUACUGGACGAGGCUGGCACUGCACAAGAAGAUGCAGCUGUCUCUGGAACAAGGUGGAGCAGAGGGCCUAAAAACACAUUUCUAAGGGCAGACUUG
rnacentral:lncRNA from 1 species